rnacentral:lncRNA from 1 species
ACGUCGUAACGCUCGUUGACGACUACUUCAACUACACGUCUUGACUAAGAAAAUUAGUUGGGGCAAACUUUGCACCAUCACCAACUAGUCGGAAUCAACUCCGACUAGUCGGCUUCAUCAACAACCGUUGCAGUUUCAUUGACAACCACCACAGCUUCAUCAACAGUCGUCCACGAAUCAAGCUAAGUUAGUUUUCUAAUUAUUUUCUGGUUUAUUUUCUAUAUGCGCGCAACACGCGCUCU